AUUGAACGCUGGCGGCAUGCCUUACACAUGCAAGUCGAACGGCAGCACGGGAGCAAUCCUGGUGGCGAGUGGCGAACGGGUGAGUAAUAUAUCGGAACGUGCCCAUGAGUGGGGGAUAGCCCGGCGAAAGCCGGAUUAAUACCGCAUACGCCCUUAGGGGGAAAGCGGGGGGAUCUUCGGACCUCGCGCUAUUGGAGCGGCCGAUGUCGGAUUAGCUAGUAGGUGAGGUAAAGGCUCACCUAGGCGACGAUCCGUAGCUGGUCUGAGAGGAUGAUCAGCCACACUGGGACUGAGACACGACCCAGACUCCUACGGGAGGCAGCAGUGGGGAAUUUUGGACAAUGGGCGCAAGCCUGAUCCAGCCAUGCCGCGUGAGUGAAGAAGGCC
rnacentral:rRNA from 1 species